rnacentral:rRNA from 1 species
UACGUAGGAGACGAGCGUUGUCCGGAGUUACUGGGCGUAAAGGGUGCGCAGGUGGCCGCGCGCGUGGGGGGUGAAAUCGCCUGGCUUAACUGGGCGGGGCCUUCCAGACGGCGUGGCUUGAGCAGCGGAGGGGGGCGUGGAAUCCGGGUGGAGCGGUGAAAUGCGUAGAUAUCAGGAGGAAUACCGAUGGCGAAGGCAGGUCUCUGGGCUAGAACUGACGCUCGAUGCACGAAAGCGUGGGGAGCAAACAGG